rnacentral:rRNA from 1 species
UACGGGGGGAGCAAGCGUUGUUCGGAAUUACUGGGCGUAAAGGGCUCGUAGGCGGCCAACUAAGUCGGAUGUGAAAUCCCCAGGCUUAACCUGGGAACUGCAUCCGAUACUGGAUGGCUUGAAUCCGGGAGAGGGAUGCGGAAUUCCAGGUGUAGCGGUGAAAUGCGUAGAUAUCUGGAGGAACACCGGUGGCGAAGGCGGCAUCCUGGACCGGCAUUGACGCUGAGGAGCGAAAGCGUGGGGAGCAAACAGG